rnacentral:rRNA from 1 species
AGAGUUUGAUCAUGGCUCAGGACGAACGCUGGCGGCGCGCCUAACACAUGCAAGUCGAACGAGCGAGAGAGAGCUUGCUUUCUCGAGCGAGUGGCGAACGGGUGAGUAACGCGUGAGGAACCUGCCUCAAAGAGGGGGACAACAGUUGGAAACGACUGCUAAUACCGCAUAAGCCCACGACCUGGCAUCGGGUUGAGGGAAAAGGAGCAAUCCGCUUUGAGAUGGCCUCGCGUCCGAUUAGCUAGUUGGUGAGGUAACGGCCCACCAAGGCGACGAUCGGUAGCCGGACUGAGAGGUUGAACGGCCACAUUGGGACUGAGACACGGCCCAGACUCCUACGGGAGGCAGCA